AGUGAACGCUGGCGGUAGGCCUAACACAUGCAAGUCGAACGGCAGCACACUAAGAGUUUGCUCUUACGGGUGGCGGGUGGCGGACGGGUGAGGAAUACAUCGGAAUCUUCUUUUUCGUGGGGGAUAACGUAGGGGAGGUUACGCUAAUACCGCAUACGACCUACGGGUGAGAGCAGGGGAUCUUCGGACCUUGCGCGAUUGAACGAGCUGAUGUCGGAUUAGCUGGUGGGGCGGGUAAAGGCCCACCAAGGCGAGGAGCCGUAGCCGGUGGGAGAGGAUGGUCGGCCACACUGGAACGUGAACACGGUCCAGACUCCUACGGGAGGCAGCAGUGUGGAAUAUUGGACAAUGGGCGCAAGCCUGAUCCAGCCAUACCGCGUGGGUGAAGAAGGCCUUCGGUUUGUAAAGCCCUUUUGUUGGGAAAGAAAAGCAGCAGGUUAAUACCCCGCUGUUCUGACGGUACCCAAAGAAUAAGCACCGGCUAACUUCGUG
rnacentral:rRNA from 1 species